AUUCCACCAGUAUUUUCACUUUGACUAAUUUCUAUAUAUAGUGAAUUAUUAUUUAAUAAAACUGUAAUACGAUGUGCAGUCCAACUAGUUUCCUCUUUUAUGUGUGUAUAAUGUAACCUAGCUAUGUAUUACAACUAAUUUCUCUAAUACGAUGGUUCUCCUUCUUGCCUCUACAUCUCCUUCCUUCACUUCUGAUUCCGUGAAGCUCUAACCAACUGAUUCUUGUUCUUGAAAAACAACCUGAAGCCGACCAAAAUCGAUGAGUUUCAUGAUCAUCAGUCGCAUCCGAAGAGAGAAAUCUUCACAAACGAAGAAAAAGAUAAGUUUCCUCUUUUUAAUCAUCUUAUCUCUAAUACAAUCUGAUAUAUUUUUUAAUUGAUAAAAAAAAACAGAUUAGCCGUCACUAAGAUUGUAUUCUUCCCGUCCUUUUCUUUUUGUUCCAAGUGAGCACAAAACCAAUAGAAAUAUCGGCGGCCGUUUCUAUCUGUAUUACAUAGUUUCAAUUGAAAAUCAAAAGAAAACUAAUGGUUUGAUGAUGUGUAUAACGUAUACUGUUUUGGGAGGUAGAUCUUCAUUUAAGAUCAAUGAUUUGGGUUUUUGUUACUGUGUAUGUAACAAAUAAUCAGGGAUGGUCCUAAUCUAGUACGUUUGUAAAUCAGGGAUUAGUUUGAUUGAUCCUAAUCUAUUCCGUUUGUGUAUGUACUAAUUAGGGAUUAGUUGGACUAAUAUAAUAAUCCCCUUAUAAUCCUUACUUUCUGUAGUAUGGGAGUUGCUUGCGGAUCUAGAUUGAUGGGAAACCUGAGGACGAAAAUGUUCCGAGGAGAAGAAAGCCGUGCAGUAAGACUCACCAGGUCCGAUCCAACUCAACCAGGUCUGAGUCGAUCCAACUCACCCGACCCAAUCUUGUUCCGACCCGUUCCAGCUGUGGCCCGUCCUGUUUUAGUUCUCUUGGUACGUGCGAGACUAAGGCUGUUCCGGUUUUGUCUAUAUAGAGAGGGAACCAAUAUACGAGAUUUUGGACACUGUGAAAUCCACCGACAAAAAGGUUCAGGCACGCACCCAUUUCUUCUGUCAAAAUUAUUUCUAAACCCAAAAUUUUUAGAAUUUUGUUUCCGUUUUUUAACAGUUCAAUCUCCUCUUCUCUGUAUCUCUCUUUGUGUCUCUCGAGAUCCAAAGCAAGGAAGAAAUAAGAAACUAACCAGAAGAAGGAAUAGAAGAAAAUCAGAAAAGAUGUUUUCUCUGAUGGCGAACUAAAUAGCAGAUCUAAAAAUUGAUGGAGAAAGAUCAUGAUGAUGGUGACUGCCGGUGGGUUGCUGAAGGUGCUAGAAGACAUGGGUCUUCGUUGGAUAUCAAUUCUAUUGGAAAUCGACUAAUACGAGCAAGUUUUUUUUUUUGUGUGUGUGCUUGACAGGAAAGUGAUGAUGUUGGUGAUAAGUUGUUCAUUUUUUGAGCUUUUAAAUCACUGAAUUCC